rnacentral:snRNA from 1 species
GGAUCUGAGGGCAAUUUGGCUGCAACUGUUACGCUAUCCAUCCCCAGAGCUGAUGCUGUUUCUCAGCCUGGCUAGGCUGGUGUCCCAGUCUUUUCUCACCACUUCAUGUACAUCCCUCUUGAUGCUGCAUACCUGGUGAUAGAGGUUGGCGCUCUCUGGACUAUGUUUUAGUCAAAGAUACAAGAGUAGCUAUACUCCCAUUCCUGAACCUGCAAACAAGCUCUCAAGAAUAAAACUCAGACCCAGCAUGGCGGCACAGUUCUCUAAUCCCAGCACUCAAGAGGAAGUGGCAGACAGAU